UACGAAGGGGGCUAGCGUUGCUCGGAAUCACUGGGCGUAAAGCGCACGUAGGCGGACUCUUAAGUCGGUGGUGAAAUCCUGGAGCUCAACUCCAGAACUGCCUUCGAUACUGAGAGUCUCGAGUCCGGGAGAGGUGAGUGGAACUCCGAGUGUAGAGGUGAAAUUCGUAGAUAUUCGGAAGAACACCAGUGGCGAAGGCGGCUCACUGGCCCGGUACUGACGCUGAUGUGCGAAAGCGUGGGGAGCAAACAGG
rnacentral:rRNA from 1 species